GAUGAACGCUGGCGGCGUGCCUAAUACAUGCAAGUCGAGCGAACGGACGAGAAGCUUGCUUCUCUGAUGUUAGCGGCGGACGGGUGAGUAACACGUGGAUAACCUACCUAUAGGACUGGGAUAACUUCGGGAAACCGUAGCUAAUACCGGAUAAUAUUUUGAACCGCAUGGUUCAAAAGUGAAAGACGGUCUUGCUGUCACUUAUAGAUGGAUCCGCGCUGCAUUAGCUAGUUGGUAAGGUAACGGCUUACCAAGGCAACGAUGCAUAGCCGACCUGAGAGGGUGAUCGGCCACACUGGAACUGAGACACGGUCCAGACUCCUACGGGAGGCAGCAGUAGGGAAUCUUCCGCAAUGGGCGAAAGCCUGACGGAGCAACGCCGCGUGAGUGAUGAAGUUCUUCGGAUCGUAAAACUCUGUUAUUAGGGAAGAACAUAUGUGUAAGUAACUGUGCACAUCUUGACGGUACCUAAUCAGAAAGCCACGGCUAACUACGUG
rnacentral:rRNA from 1 species